UAACUUCCCAAGUGGCAUGAAUUGAAUGUGCAUCAAGAACUAAAAUUAAAAUUAAACCUCAUCCUCAAGAAUCUUUCAUGAUUUGGAAGUAUAUUAAAAGUUUACCCGAAGACAAACAAAUUAUAAAUUGCAAUAAAAAACAACACGAAGCUGCAAAAUCAACUUACCAGUACCCGCCGCUACCUUAUGUUUGCCUAUAAUGAAGACAAGAUACAUUUCAACGUAUGCUGAUAUGUUUUCAAAAGAUAUAGAAAGUAUUCCUUCAAAUGUUUAUCCUAAACUAAUCAACAGUUUUACACA
rnacentral:misc_RNA from 1 species